rnacentral:rRNA from 1 species
AGUGAACGCUGGCGGUAGGCCUAACACAUGCAAGUCGAACGGCAGCACAGAGGAGCUUGCUCCUUGGGUGGCGAGUGGCGGACGGGUGAGGAAUACAUCGGAAUCUACUCUGUCGUGGGGGAUAACGUAGGGAAACUUACGCUAAUACCGCAUACGACCUACGGGUGAAAGCAGGGGACCUUCGGGCCUUGCGCGAUUGAAUGAGCCGAUGUCGGAUUAGCUAGUUGGCGGGGUAAAGGCCCACCAAGGCGACGAUCCGUAGCUGGUCUGAGAGGAUGAUCAGCAACACUGGAACUGGGACACGGUCCAGUCUCCUACGGGAGGCAGCAGUGGGGAAUAUUAGACAAUGGGCGCAAGCCUGAUCCAGCCAUACCGCGUGGGUGAAGAAGGCCUUCGGGUUGUAAAGCCCUUUUGUUGGGAAAGAAAUCCAGCUGGCUAAUACCCGGUUGGGAUGACGGUACCCAAAGAAUAAGCACCGGCUAACUUCGUGCCAGCCGCCGCAGUAA